UAGGUUAAGAGCGGCAGGUUACGGUCACUAGGUUAAGAGCGGCAGGUUACGGUCACUAGGUUAAGAGCUACAGGUAACAGUCACUAGGUUAAGAGCUGAGGUAACGGUCACUAGUAAUGGUCAGUAGGUUACGAGCUGAGGUAAUGGUCACUAGGUUAAGAGUGGCAGGUAACGGUCACCAGGUUAAGAGCGGCACGUAACAGUCACUAGGUUAAGAGCGGCAGGUAAUGGUCACUAGGUUAAGAGCUGAGGUAACGGUCACUAGGUUAAGAGCUGCAGGUAAUGGUCACUAGGUUAAGAGCUGAGGUAACGGUCGCUAGGUUACGAGCUGAGGUAACGGUCACUAGGUUAAGAGCGGCAGGUAAUGGUCACUAGGUUAAGAGCGGCAGGUUACGGUCACUAGGUUAAGAGCGGCAGGUUACGGUCACUAGGUUAAGAGCUACAGGUAACAGUCACUAGGUUAAGAGCUGAGGUAACGGUCACUAGUAAUGGUCACUAGGUUAAGAGCUGAGGUAACGGUCACUAGGUUAAGAGCUGAGGU